rfam:Octopus bimaculoides Scaffold75839_contig_4, whole genome shotgun sequence.
UUGUUUCAGCAAUACAUACACCAAAAUUGGAAUGGUACAGAGAAGAGUAGCUUGGCCUCUGUACAAGGAUGACAUGCAAAUUUGUGAAGCAUUCCAUAUUUUA